rnacentral:rRNA from 1 species
AACGAACGCUGGCGGCGUGGAUUAGGCAUGCAAGUCGAACGAGGGAGCAUCCCGAAAGGGAUGCAAACCGAGUGGCGUAAGGGUGAGUAAUACAUUGAUAACCUACCUCCAAGAUGGGAAUAACAACGUUCCAAGCAAUUGGGGCUACCGAAAGGGUUGCUAAUACUCAAUAAAAUUAUUGUUGCUUCGGCAAUAAUAGUCAAAUAGGCGGAAUCGAAAGAUUCCGCUUGCUUGAAGAGGGGUCAAUGUCCUAUCAGCUAGUUGUGGGGAAUAGGCCCACCAAGGCGAAGACGGGUAGCCGGCCUGAGAGGGUGUCGGCCACACUGGGACUGAGAUACUGCCCAGACUCCUACGGGAGGCUGCAGUCGAGAAUCUUUCGCAAUGCCCGAAAGGGUGACGAAGCGACGCCGCGUGC